ACUACUACCACCACCCCCACCAACACUACUACCAUCACCACCACCAACACUACUACCACCAUCACCACCACCACCACCACCACCACCACCACCACCACCACCACUACCAACCCCACCACUACAAGCAUCCAAUAGCCCUAAAGCGAGUCCCAGUGGGGGGUACGGUCUCCUGGAGGGCCGGUGGGUCUCUCACCAUCCUUGACUCUGACAGCUGUGUGUCUGUAAGGAGACAAAUACAGCACACACAUGCACAAUGGACUGCAGUCUUUUCCCUAGCAUUAGCAUCACUCCAGUAUAUUUAGCUCUAGGCUUCCUUUGUCUUACAUUGCAGCUUAAUUGUGUCCUUAAGUAAAAAGGGUGAAUGUCAUGACUCAAACAGAAUUAUAUUAAUUCUAAACGUUUAGAAGCAAUGGAAGUUUAUAUCCUAAUAUCUUUAGAGCUACUGUUUGAAAUGUUUUCUAUGUUUUAUACUGAUUGUAUGUGUCUCAGAGGAGGCUGGUGGGAGGAGCUAUAGGAGGAUGGCCUAUUGUAAUGGCUGGAAUGGAAUUAAUGGAACGAUAUCCAACACAUCAAACAUAUGAAAACUACAUGAAGUUGACUCCCUUCCAUUAAUUCCAUUCCAGCCAUUACAAUGAGCCCGUUCGUCUAUUGCUCCUCCCACCAGCCUCCUCUGAUGUGCCACGACCAGAGUACUGGAAUUUCUAAAAUGUCAAUGUCAACAUUCUUCUCACAAGGAAAUGCCUGCUUUUUCUUGUUACGGAAAUUGAACGAAUACCUUCAAACAGUGAACGUAGGUUGAAUUUAACCAGAUGUUUUCCUGGUCAGAGGAAAGAGAACACCUCUCUAUGGGAUAGGUAGUGUGAUAAUGACUUUUGAUUAAUGCUUGUUAUGUCAUUACAUGUAAUACAGACUGUAUACUGUCUAUCUGUUGGCAAGGUAACAAGACUACAAGCAGAAAACAAUCCGUUCUGUAUAUCUUAUUGUUCAGAGAGUUAACAACUAGCUAGCUAUGAAGUGUUCAAGCAGUAUACUUUGAUUGUUUCAUGGCAACACAGCCUUCUGACCUCUAAUUGGAGUGAUGAAAACCACUGUUCUUCUUUCCUUCAACAGCUCUUAGGUUUCUCACCAUAUGAACACAUUUGAGAUUCAUUGAUUUGAUUCAUUUUCAUUGGGUUUGAUUGCCAACACUUUUUGCUUGUAAAUAUAUGCAGUAUUUAAACCUGUCAAUAAAACCACUGCCAUAUGUGCCUUGUGUCAGUAACACGUUGCUAGGGUUCUAAUCCCUAUGCCCUAAGGCCUUUGGUAUAUUGUUAGUUGGGUCAGGAGUAUUUUUUUGUACUAUCAUUAUAAUAAAGUUAUGUUAUGGUUUAAAUGUG